rnacentral:rRNA from 1 species
CAGCAGCCGCGGUAAUUCGGGGGGAGCGAACGUUGUUCGGAAUCACUGGGCGUAAAGGGCGCGUAAGCGGCUUCGUAAGUGAGAUGUGAAAGCCCCUGGCUCAACCAGGGAAAUGCGUCUCAUACUGCGGGGCUUGAGUGCAGGAGAGGAUGGGGGAAUUCCCGGUGUAGCGGUGAAAUGCAUUGAUAUCGGGAGGAACACCAGUGGCGAAGGCGCCCAUCUGGCCUGUUACUGACGCUGAGGCGCGAAAGCCGGGGGAGCAAACAGGAUUAGAUACCCUGGUAGUCCCGGCUGUAAACGGUGGGCACUAGGUGUGGGGGGCAUCGACCCCUCCCGUGCCGAAGCUAACGCAUUAAGUGCCCCGCCUGGGGAGUACGACCGCAAGGUUGAAACUCAAAGGAAUUGACGG